ensembl:lncRNA novel transcript
AGGGGCCAGGCCUCAGGUCCCACAGGUCAGUUGCAAGGGCCUAGCACAGCUAGCCCCCUGAGAGGCCUCCCUACUUAGUGGUCAGGUGUUAGGAAGGUUUGGUGGGGCCACUUGAGGUGCCCUGGGGUUGGGGUGAAACCCCUCUGCAGCCUAGUCAGCCCAAGGGCAUUGUGAAAGUGACAGCUGCCAGAGGUCUGGGUUCCAGCCCCUGGCUGACAUUAAACUUUUCUGAAUUUCGGUUUUUCCCUGUAAAUUGGGGAAAAUUACUUGCCCCAGCUUCAACACUGCCUCCCCUCCACCCUUUUGCUGCUGCCUUAUCAGGCCCCAGCUGUAGGCAGGUCAGCCCACGCCCGGCGGCAGAGCCCAGAGAGGCUCGCUCAUCUCAGCCGCCAGAAGUGUCAUCCCAGGGAAGCAGGGCUGGGAGCAUCCCCGGGGCAGGCGGAGGUCGGAGGUGGUGAGGCCUUUCGGCGAAGCUGAGGCCUGGAACAACCCGGUGGGAAGCCACGGAGGGGGUCCCCUAGCGGAGGCUGGGCGCGGGCCGGUGCGCGUGCGCGGCUGGAGGCUCAGCGCGCGAGCGUGCGCGUGAUUUGGCCCUGAACGGACGCCGUAGCCGAGAGGUUGGGCGGAUGUUGUGAACCGGGUCGCGGCGGCCGAGGCUCGGGCCUCCAGGACCACUGGCUGCCCAUGAGAGACGAAGGAUGGCAUCCAAGGGGGCCGGCGUGUCUUUCUCCCGCAAGAGCUGUAGGCUGACCUCAGAUGCUGAGAAAUCCAGGGUCACAGGCAUUGUGCAGGAGAAGCUGCUGAAUGACUACCUGAACCGCAUCUUUCCUCUUCUGACCAUGCACCCCCAGCAGCCACCGGCAGUUACUCGGGAGGCUGAGGCAGGAGAAUCGCUUGAACCGGAGAGGCGGACGUUGCAGUGAGCCGAGGUCAAACCAGUGCACUCCAGCCUGGGCAACAGAGCGAGACUCCAUCUGAAAAAGAAACAAAAAGAAAAAAAAA